rnacentral:rRNA from 1 species
AAUGAACGCUGGCGGCAUGCCUAACACAUGCAAGUCGAACGAGACCUCCGGGACUAGUGGCGCUCGGGUGCGUCACGUGUGGGAACCUGCACUUAGGUACGGAAUAACACUCCGACAGGGGUGCUAAUACCGGAUAAUGUCUUCGGACACCAGAUUGAUCUUCCUUGGAUGGGCACGCGAUGGUUUAGCUAGUUGGGAUGGUAAAAGCCUAUCAAGGCGACGCUACAUAGCUGGUCUGAGAGGAUGGGAAGCCACUCUGAGACGGGGACGCGGCCCAGAAUCCUACGGGAUGCGGCAGUGGGUGAUAUAGGACUAUGGGGGGAGUGCUGAACCAGCAAUGCUUCGUGAGUGAUGAAGUCGGGAGAGAUGUGAAGCUCGUUUACCCGGGAUGAUAAUGACAGUACCGGGAGAAUAAGCUCCGGCUAACUCCGUG